GCAAUCAUGGUUCAAUGGUAGAGUUCUCGCUUUUCAUGUGGGAGACCCAGGUUCAAUUCCUGAUCCAUGCA
rnacentral:tRNA from 1 species